AAAAAGACAAACCCUGAUUUCCGUGCCCAACGUUUGACCGUCCGUUUUAUUUAAAAAAAUUAAAAAGACAAGUCACGCACAAAGUAUUAAUCAUAUUUUAUCAUCUAACAACAAUAAAAGUACGAAUUAUAAAAAAAUUUCAUAUAAGACGGACAAUCAAAGUUAGACACGGAAACCCAGGGUUUGCCUUUUU
rnacentral:pre_miRNA from 1 species